UGUAUGUCUGUGUGUGUGUCUCUCUCUUUGUGUGUGUCUGUGUGUUUGUGUGUCUCUGUGUCUCCAUGUGUGUCUGUGUCUGUGUGUGUCUCUCUCUGUGUGUGUAUGUCUCUGUGUGUGUGUGUCUGUGUGUGUGUGUCUGGCUGAGAGGGCCGGGUGGGAGGUGACGCUCAGCCUCGCCUCACAGCGGGGCCUGUGGGUGGGCAGUGGAGGAAGGCUCCUGAGGGCUCACCUGGGGCUCGGGAGGUGACAUCGCCUGUCACCUGAGCUGGCGCCUCAUGAGCGGAACCCAGCCCUGUAUGUGAGCUUCCGGGUCGGGAGUGGGGCCAGACCCACUGGGCUCCCCCACACACCCCUGGUGGAUGGGACAACCCUGUGGCAGAGGCCCAGGCACAAAGAGAGCCUGGACCCACCUUCGGAGCGGGGGUGUGUG
rnacentral:lncRNA from 1 species